UACGGAGGGAGCUAGCGUUGUUCGGGAUUACUGGGCGUAAAGCGCACGUAGGCGGCUUUGUAAGUUAGAGGUGAAAGCCCGGGGCUCAACCCCGGAAUUGCCUUUAAGACUGCAUCGCUUGAAUCCAGGAGAGGUGAGUGGAAUUCCGAGUGUAGAGGUGAAAUUCGUAGAUAUUCGGAAGAACACCAGUGGCGAAGGCGGCUCACUGGACUGGUACUGACGCUGAUGCGCGAAAGCGUGGGGAGCAAACAGG
rnacentral:rRNA from 1 species